rnacentral:misc_RNA from 1 species
AGGAAACAAUUAUCAUCUUCAGUUUUGAGAGACUUAAGAAAGUUUUUCAUUGUCACUUGCUUGCAAAUUGUAUUUGCAACAUUUUAAUCUUUUUAAGAUUAAGGGCCUAUAGCUCAGUUGGUUAGAGCACACGCCUGAUAAAGCGUGAGGUCGGUGGUUCAAGUCCAUUUAGGCCCACCAUAACCACAAAUAGGCAAAAUCUUAAAAAAGCUCUUUGAAAAGUAGAUAAACGAAGGUUAAAA